UUUGAGAUUUAUUUGUGACUUUUUGUUAAGACACACAAAAACCUAGCACCUUGAAUACUAAAAAUUUCUCCAAGUCUUUUGCAUAUCUUCUCUCUCUUCCCUUCCAUUAACCCUCUUCGCUUUUCUCAAAUUUUUCCAAAUCCUUCUCUUUUUAGUUUGUACCUCUGAUUUGGUGAAGAUCCAUCCAAAAUCAGCUGCUUUAGUAUCCUCUGUCCCAACUGCACCGAUGUGUCAGACGAUUGUACUGGGUCUGAUUCGGGAUUGCGUCAAUUUGGGGCACUUUGGUUUGAGGAGCGGUAGUUGAUUCUUGGGCUAAGUUCCAUUCACUGUAUCAGAAGAUAGCUUGGAAAACUAAUAACAAUUAUGUAAAGAGCAAGAGGAUGGUCUGAAGAAGAAGGACAAAAGCAUCUCGAGGGCACUUGCUGAUAAUCAAUUGGAAGGAACACAACAAGUAUCAUAACAUGGUUGUACACUAUAUAUAGUGAUGAUGAGAACUAUUUUCCUAAAGAUGCAAACCAAGAACUCAAGACUUCAUCCUCUACAUCUUAGAACUACUUGUUAUCUUGUUGUUUGGCAUCUUUUGGUUUUAGGAAUUGGUUGGGUUAUAGAUUUUUGGAUACAAUACUUUUUUGGUAUAAUAAAUCAAAUUUGUCAUUUUAUUUUAA